GACGGAGGAUGCAAGCGUUAUCCGGAAUGAUUGGGCGUAAAGCGUCUGUAGGUGGCUUUUUAAGUUCGCCGUCAAAUCCCAGGGCUCAACCCUGGACAGGUGGUGGAAACUACCAAGCUAGAGUACGGUAGGGGCAGAGGGAAUUUCCGGUGGAGCGAUGAAAUGCGUAGAGAUCGGAAGGAACACCCAAGGCGAAAGCACUCUGCUGGGCCGACACUGACACUGAGAGACGAAAGCUAGGGGAGCAAAUGGG
rnacentral:rRNA from 1 species